AAUCAACGCUGGCGGCGCGCUUAACACAUGCAAGUCGAGCGAGAAAGUGGAGCAAUCCAUGAGUACAGCGGCGUACGGGUGAGUAACACGUGGGUAAUCUACCUUUUAGUGGGGAAUAACCCUGGGAAACCGGGGCUAAUACCGCAUAAUCCUGUGAAGGGAAAGCAGCAAUGCGCUGAAAGAGGAGCCCGCGGCCGAUUAGCUAGUUGGUGAGGUAACGGCCCACCAAGGCGGUGAUCGGUAGCCGGCCUGAGAGGGCACACGGCCACACUGGCAC
rnacentral:rRNA from 1 species